UGGCGGCGUGCUAUACAUGCAAGUCGAGCGAACAGAUAAGGAGCUUGCUCCUUUGACGUUAGCGGCGGACGGGUGAGUAACACGUGGGUAACCUACCUAUAAGACUGGGAUAACUUCGGGAAACCGGAGCUAAUACCGGAUAACAUUUGGAACCGCAUGGUUCUAAAGUGAAAGAUGGUUUUGCUAUCACUUAUAGAUGGACCCGCGCCGUAUUAGCUAGUUGGUAAGGUAACGGCUUACCAAGGCGACGAUACGUAGCCGACCUGAGAGGGUGAUCGGCCACACUGGAACUGAGACACGGUCCAGACUCCUACGGGAGGCAGCAGUAGGGAAUCUUCCGCAAUGGGCGAAAGCCUGACGGAGCAACGCCGCGUGAGUGAUGAAGGGUUUCGGCUCGUAAAACUCUGUUAUUAGGGAAGAACAAACGUGUAAGUAACUGUGCACGUCUUGACGGUACCUAAUCAGAAAGCCACGGCUAACUACGUGCCAGCAGCCGCGGUAAUACGUAGGUGGCAAGCGUUAUCCGGAAUUAUUGGGCGUAAAGCGCGCGUAGGCGGUUUCUUAAGUCUGAUGUGAAAGCCCACGGCUCAACCGUGGAGGGUCAUUGGAAACUGGGAAACUUGAGUGCAGAAGAGGAAAGUGGAAUUCCAUGUGUAGCGGUGAAAUGCGCAGAGAUAUGGAGGAACACCAGUGGCGAAGGCGACUUUCUGGUCUGUAACUGACGCUGAUGUGCGAAAGCGUGGGGAUCAAACAGGAUUAGAUACCCUGGUAGUCCACGCCGUAAACGAUGAGUGCUAAGUGUUAGGGGGUUUCCGCCCCUUAGUGCUGCAGCUAACGCAUUAAGCACUCCGCCUGGGGAGUACGACCGCAAGGUUGAAACUCAAAGGAAUUGACGGGGACCCGCACAAGCGGUGGAGCAUGUGGUUUAAUUCGAAGCAACGCGAAGAACCUUACCAAAUCUUGACAUCCUUUGAAAACUCUAGAGAUAGAGCCUUCCCCUUCGGGGGACAAAGUGACAGGUGGUGCAUGGUUGUCGUCAGCUCGUGUCGUGAGAUGUUGGGUUAAGUCCCGCAACGAGCGCAACCCUUAAGCUUAGUUGCCAUCAUUAAGUUGGGCACUCUAGGUUGACUGCCGGUGACAAACCGGAGGAAGGUGGGGAUGACGUCAAAUCAUCAUGCCCCUUAUGAUUUGGGCUACACACGUGCUACAAUGGACAAUACAAAGGGCAGCUAAACCGCGAGGUCAUGCAAAUCCCAUAAAGUUGUUCUCAGUUCGGAUUGUAGUCUGCAACUCGACUACAUGAAGCUGGAAUCGCUAGUAAUCGUAGAUCAGCAUGCUACGGUGAAUACGUUCCCGGGUCUUGUACACACCGCCCGUCACACCACGAGAGUUUGUAACACCCGAAGCCGGUGGAGUAACCAUUUAUGGAGCUAGCCGUCGA
rnacentral:rRNA from 1 species